GGGCAGGAAGAGGGAAAGUGUCACCGUGCCUUGGCACAAGCUCUGGACCCCUGCUUCUCCUUCCACAGUUAGUUUCAAGAGGGAUAGAAAGUGACUUGCUCCGGGUUGCCUUUCUUUUGCGAGUCUCAUCACAGUCUUUCCAGAAACACUGGCAAGUGACUGCACACAGCCUUGGAAGCCACGGUUUGUCCCUGUCGCUCUGACCAGCCAGUAAGCGCUGGGAGCGCCACCAAGGUACAGAGGUGUCCGGAAGUAGAGCAACAAGCCGUCCUCCGCCUCUGCCUGCGAACACACAAGCGAAAACCACAUAAACCAUGGCCACUUCUUCUUCCUCGUCUACAAACCCCCAUGAAGAUGAAACAUGAGUGCCCCCCUCGGCCACCC